CAUAUGUCUUGUCUCAAGCAGGUCUUUCACUCAGCCAGCAUGUGCCCUGGCAAGGCAGGAUGGACUCCUAAGUCUGAUUAAGAUCAAACAAGGAUUCCAAGAUCUCAAGAGUGGCAAAAAUUCAAAAUCCUCAACACUCAGCAGGCAAUGGACCCAGGGAAUCAAGUAAUCUGCAGCAAACUAAAUUCAGAGCAGGUGGCCAUC